rnacentral:hammerhead_ribozyme from 1 species
AUCCAGCUGACGAGUCUCAAAUUGGACGAAACGUGCGUCAUACUGGAU